AGUCUCCUGAGUCUCCUGAAGGAACGUUGAAGACGACGACGUUGAUAGGCCGGGUGUGUAAGCGCAGCGAUGCGUUGAGCUAACCGGUACUAAUGAACCGUGAGGCUUAACCUU
rnacentral:rRNA from 1 species